rnacentral:rRNA from 1 species
GACGAACGCUGGCGGCGUGCUUAACACAUGCAAGUCGAACGAAAAGAGGGAAAGAGCUUGCUCUUUCCGGAAUUGAGUGGCAAACGGGUGAGUAACACGUAAACAACCUGCCUUCAGGAUGGGGACAACAGACGGAAACGACUGCUAAUACCGAAUAAGUUCCAAGAGCCGCAUGGCCCAUGGAAGAAAAGGUGGCCUCUACCUGUAAGCUAUCGCCUGAAGAGGGGUUUGCGUCUGAUUAGCUGGUUGGAGGGGUAACGGCCCACCAAGGCGACGAUCAGUAGCCGGUCUGAGAGGAUGAACGGCCACACUGGAACUGAGACACGGUCCAGACUCCUACGGGAGGCAGCAGUGGGGAAUCUUCCGCAAGAGGCGAAAGCCUGACGGAGCAACGCCGCGUGAGUGAUGACGGCCUUCGGGUUGUAAAACUCUGUGAUCCGGGACGAAAAGGCAGAGUGCGAAGAACAAACUGCAUUGACGGUACCGGAAAAGCAAGCCACGGCUAACUACGUG